ACACCCUGCCCUAUAUAAUCCUCCAGGCUCUCACCUUCUUCAAAGUGUUUGUAUUAGUACUCUCUCUGGCUGUGGAAGUUCUAUGAAGCAUUUCCUUCCUCCAAUUGGUCCAGCAUCAGUUUAAGGGGGAGGACUCAGAUGAUACAAUUCAGGUCCAGCAUCAGUUUAAUGGGGAAAGCGCAGAUGAGACGAUACAGGAUUUAUUCAGCUCUUACCCGUGUCACUUCCUGGCGUGGACACAAGAAAAUCAGAUGGGUCGAAGUCCCAGUCCCCAUCCCACUCAGGUCUCACAGUCCAAAUUGGACUGAAUCGAAUUUCAUUGUCGCCACCAGGGAAAAAAACAUAGGAUUGCGAAGUUUUGGGCA